UACGGGGGGGGCAAGCGUUGUUCGGAAUUACUGGGCGUAAAGGGCUCGUAGGCGGCCAACUAAGUCGGAUGUGAAAGCCCCCGGCUCAACUGGGGAGGGUCACGCGAUACUGCUCGACUCGAAGGCAGGAGAGGGAAGUGGAAUUCCCGGUGUAGUGGUGAAAUGCGUAGAUAUCGGGAGGAACACCAGUGGCGAAGGCGACUUCCUGGCCUGUUCUUGACGCUGAGGCGCGAAAGCUAGGGUAGCAAACGGG
rnacentral:rRNA from 1 species